ACGGGGGCAUUGCCCAGUACGGCGAGUGAAGCGGCAAAAGCUCAAUUUUGAAAUCCCCCCGGGGAGUUGUAAUUUGAAGACUAGGGGAUUUGGCCCAAACCUGCGCAAGUCCAUUGGAACAUGGCGCCCAAGAGGGUGAGAGCCCCGUCGCGCAGGCCGCAGCCUUGACAUCCCCCCGUCAAAGAGUCGAGUUGUUUGGGAAUGCAGCUCAAAGUGGGUGGUAAAUUCCAUCUAAAGCUAAAUAUUGGCGAGAGACCGAUAGCGAACAAGUACAGUGAUGGAAAGAUGAAAAGCACUUUGAAAAGAGAGUGAAACAGUACGUGAAAUUGUUGAAAGGGAAGGGCUUGCAAGCAGACACGAGUUCGCUCGGGCCAGCAUCAAUUUCGCGAGGUGGACAACACGCCAGGAAUGUGGCAGGCUCCGGCCUGUGUUAUAGCCUGCGCGCCAUACACCUCCGCGAGAUUGAGGCCUGCUCCAAAAGGAUGCUGGCGUAAUGGUUGCAAGUCGCCCGUCUUGAAAMAAMRRAMAMAAAAAA
rnacentral:rRNA from 1 species